rnacentral:misc_RNA from 1 species
CAUAUCCUACGAUUCGACCCCGAUGCGCGACGUCGACGAACGCAGCGCCGCGGGCACCGACUGUGGCAACGACGAACGGCCGCGCCGCGGUGAAGCGAGUCCGCAAGAGCUGGAAGACGCACCCGACGAUGGAACCGGGCGGCUUGGGAACACGGACUGGUGUCUAUGUGGUUCCUGCGCGCCGAUGGAGACCGUCGUCGAGUGCGUCUGCUGCCGCGAAUACCCGGCCGUCGCACGGAAGCAGCAGGGCCGGCAGGGCUGCGUAACGGGCCACCCGGACUUCGAGGCCCUGUGCCUCAACCCUGAGGUGUUGAGGUUGGCCUACCUCAACAUGCGGCACUACGGGCAGCAAGGGAUGGGCGCAAGUGCCAGCGAAUACCAGACACCCUGAAGCCGGUGGAUGAUCAUCUCGACAUGUUCCUUGUGGUGCCAGCAACACUUGCACCGCUGGUGUGGCAUUCUUUGCACGCUAUGCUGGGAUAGUUUUUUAGGAGUGCCAUGUCUGGACAGCUUAUUCAGAAGCAGGCUGUCGUCGUCGAGAUCCAUGCUUUUUUUUUAACGGAUGAUGUUGCAGUGCCCACAUGGGCACUACAGAUUUGCAGCCUACAGGCAGUGUGCCCUGUGGCUGUGGAGCCGCUUGGGAAAGAAGAAUAGGCGGCCCCUGCCAUCCUGUGUGGUCAAGACAAUUAGGGGCAGGUACCCUGCUGACGUGUAUGCGGGCUACAAGGAUGCAGAAUAAAUUGCGUUGACCUAGAGACCACGCAACCCCCUUCCCUUGUCUCUUCACCCUCCCUGCAUGUGUGUGAAGUCGCUCGUAGCCAUGAACGGAAUCCUCUAAAUCACGUGACCUAUUAUCUACGAUAUCACGUGACCAUAACUAUGAUCACAUGAUCGUAGUCAAACC